CCAGACUCCUACGGGAGGCAGCAGUGGGGGAUAUUGCACAAUGGGGGGAACCCUGAUGCAGCGACGCCGCGUGGGUGAAGGAGUGCUUCGGCAUGUAAAGCCCUAUCGGCAGGGAAGAAGCAAGACGGUACCUGACUAAGAAGCCCCGGCUAACCACGUGCCAGCAGCCGCGGUAAUACGUAGGGGGCAAGCGUUAUCCGGAUUUACUGGGUGUAAAGGGAGCGUAGACGGCAGUGCAAGUCCGGAGUGAAAGCCCGGGGCUCAACCCUGGGACUGCUUUGGAAACUGUAAAGCUGGAGUGCGGGAGGGGCAGGCGGAAUUCCUGGUGUAGCGGUGAAAUGCGUAGAUAUCAGGAGGAACACCGGCGGCGAAGGCGGCCUGCUGGACCGUAACUGACGUUGAGGCUCGAAAGCGUGGGGAGCAAACAGGAUUAGAUACCCGGGUAGG
rnacentral:rRNA from 1 species